UACGGGGGGAGCAAGCGUUGUUCGGAUUUACUGGGCGUAAAGGGCGCGUAGGCGGUCGUGACAAGUCACUUGUGAAAUCUCCGGGCUUAACUCGGAACGGUCAAGUGAUACUGUCGUGCUAGAGUACAGAAGGGGCAACUGGAAUUCUCGGUGUAGAGGUGAAAUUCGUAGAUAUGGGGAGGAACACCGGUGGCGAAGGCGGCCACCUGGACGGUAACUGACGCUGAGACGCGAAAGCGUGGGGAGCAAACAGG
rnacentral:rRNA from 1 species